UCAGAACAUGGCAUAAUUGUGUACUUCAGCCUUGGAAUGCGAUUUUUCAAUGAAUGACUGCACAAGAAAAGGUGGAAGCUCCAAACAGAGCUGAACUCAGUACAGAGGAGCCAGCCUCAGAGGACUGGAUUGGAGGCAUCAAUUGUGACUGCACAUGUCCCGGGAAUUUGUUCAGAUAGCUAACGAUUCGGCGGGGUGGGGGACAGUAAGGCUGUGUUUGCCCACGGGGGUGGGGGCUGGGAGGCGGUUCAGCAAGGCCAUUUUCCUGCUCCCUCCGCGAUCGUGCGCCGACAAGCCCCAGCCUGGGAUCGGAGCCAUCCUUCCACUCUUGCGAGGCAGGCUGCCAAGAACCCCCCGAGCCUGCCUAGCUCAUCACACCUAGGAGCCAGGAGCCAGGGGAUUAGGCUUUGAAGGCAGUGGGAGGAGGAAUUUAACUGGCGAUGUUUUGAGGCGUGGCGCUCUCUGCACCAGGGUAGGGUACAAGAACAGAUUGCCAGCAUGGCUUGUUGUUUUGGCAAAUAAGUCUUGGUGUCCAAAUUCAGAUAAUAUUCCUGUCAUUGGGAGCAAAUCAUGCUGGAAUGAUCUAACGUGUUUGCAGGUCUAGACAAAUCUUGACCUUUUUUUCU
rnacentral:lncRNA from 1 species